GACGCAGUGGCGCAGUAGGUAGGGCUGUUGCCUCACAGCAAGAAGGUCCUGGUUUGAGCCCUGGCUGGGUCA
rnacentral:tRNA from 1 species